rnacentral:rRNA from 1 species
AGAGUUUGAUCAUGGCUCAGAUUGAACGCUGGCGGCAUGCCUUACACAUGCAAGUCGAACGGCAGCACGGACUUCGGUCUGGUGGCGAGUGGCGAACGGGUGAGUAACAUAUCGGAACAUACCCUAGAGUGGGGGAUAACGUAGCGAAAGUUACGCUAAUACCGCAUACGUCCUAAGGGAGAAAGUGGGGGAUCGCAAGACCUCAUGCUCAUGGAGUGGCCGAUAUCUGAUUAGCUAGUUGGUAGGGUAAAAGCCUACCAAGGCGACGAUCAGUAGCUGGUCUGAGAGGACGACCAGCCACACUGGAACUGAGACACGGUCCAGACUCCUACGGGAGGCAGCAGUGGGGAAUUUUGGACAAUGGGCGCAAGCCUGAUCCAGCAAUGCCGCGUGAGUGAAGAAGGCCUUCGGGUUGUAAAGCUCUUUUGUCAGGGAAGAAACGGUGGGUUCUAAUACAAUCCGCUAAUGACGGUACCUGAAGAAUAAGCACCGGCUAACUACGUGCCAGCAGCCGCGGUAAUACGUAGGGUGCAAGCGUUAAUCGGAAUUACUGGGCGUAAAGCGUGCGCAGGCGGUUAUAUAAGUCAGAUGUGAAAUCCCCGGGCUCAACCUGGGAACUGCAUUUGAGACUGUAUGGCUAGAGUGUGUCAGAGGGGGGUAGAAUUCCACGUGUAGCAGUGAAAUGCGUAGAGAUGUGGAGGAAUACCGAUGGCGAAGGCAGCCCCCUGGGAUAACACUGACGCUCAUGCACGAAAGCGUGGGGAGCAAACAGGAUUAGAUACCCUGGUAGUCCACGCCCUAAACGAUGUCUACUAGUUGUCGGGACUUAAUUGUCUUGGUAACGCAGCUAACGCGUGAAGUAGACCGCCUGGGGAGUACGGUCGCAAGAUUAAAACUCAAAGGAAUUGACGG